GGAGAGGUGUCCGAGCGGCUGAAGGAGCACGAUUGGAAUCGUAGGCGCCAAAAGCGUCUCGAGGGUUCGAAUCCCUCUCUCCGCCA
rnacentral:tRNA from 1 species